GUGGGGGCUCUGACCCCACAUUUCUCUUCUGCACUGCGAUAGCAGAGGUUCUCCAUGAGAGCCCUGUCCCUGCAGCAAACUUCUUCCUGGACAUCUGGGUGUUUCCACACAUCCUCUGAAAUCUAGGCAGGGAUUCCCAAACCUCAGUUCUUGACUUCUGUGCACCUGCAGGCUCAACACCACAUGGAAGCUGCUUAAGUUUGGGGCUGGCACCCUCUGAA
rnacentral:lncRNA from 10 species